UAUUUUGCUUCAUGGCGAGAUGUUGAAAGACGGUUUCGGCUGUCACUACAAGAUGGGCCCGCGGCGCAUUAGCUAGUUGGUAGGGUAAUGGCCUACCAAGGCGACGAUGCGUAGCCGACCUGAGAGGGUGAUCGGCCACACUGGGACUGAGACACGGCCCAGACUCCGUACGGGAGGCAGCAGUAGGGAAUCUUCCACAAUGGACGAAAGUCUGAUGGAGCAACGCCGCGUGAGUGAAGAAGGUUUUCGGAUCGUAAAACUCUGUUGUAAGGGAAGAACACGUACGAGAGUAACUGCUCGUACCUUGACGGUACCUUAUUAGAAAGCCACGGCUAACUACGUG
rnacentral:rRNA from 1 species